AGACAUGUGAGUCAUCGAAUCUUUGAACGCACCUUGCGCCCUCUGGUAUUCCGGAGGGCAUGCCUGUUUGAGUGUCAUGUAGACUCAAUCCCUCGGGUUUCCGAGGAGAUUGGACUUGGGUGUUGCCGCUUCUGCCGGCUCACCUUAAAAGACUUAGCGGGAUAGCACCGUAGUCGGCGUAAUAAGUUUCGUCGGUGAAGGUUGUGAUGACUGCUUACAAUCGCCCUCGGGCAAUUUUUGACUCUGACCUCAAAUCAGGUAGGACUACCCGCUGAACUUAAGCAUAUCAAUAAGCGGAGG
rnacentral:misc_RNA from 1 species